AACGCGAAGAACCUUACCUGGGUUUGACAUCUCCGGACCGCUGUAGAGAUACAGUUUUCGUAGCAAUACGACCGGAAGACAGGUGCUGCAUGGCUGUCGUCAGCUCGUGUGGUGACAUGUUGGGUUAAGUCCCGCAACGAGCGCAACCCCUGUCCUUAGUUGCCAGCAUUCAGUUGGGCUCUCUAAGGAGACUGCCGUGGUUAACACGGAGGAAGGUGGGGAUGACGUCAAGUCCUCAUGGCCUUUAUAUCCAGGGCGACACACGUGAUACAAUGGACGGUACAAAGGGAAGCGAAAGCGCGAGCUGGAGCCAAUCUCAAAAAGCCGUUCUCAGUUCGGAUUGGAGUCUGCAAUUCGACUCCAUGAAGUUGGAAUCGCUAGUAAUCGCGGAUCAGCACGCCGCGGUGAAUACGUUCCCGGGCCUUGUACACACCGACGCGUA
rnacentral:rRNA from 1 species